GUAGGUGGCAAGCGUUGUCCGGAAUUAUUGGGCGUAAAGCGCGCGCAGGCGGUCCUUUAAGUCUGAUGUGAAAGCCCACGGGCUCAACCGUGGAGGGUCAUUGGAAACUGGGGGACUUGAGUACAGAAGAGGAAAGCGGAAUUCCAAGUGUAGCGGUGAAAUGCGUAGAGAUUUGGAGGAACACCAGUGGCGAAGGCGGCUUUCUGGUCUGUAACUGACGCUGAGGCGCGAAAGCGUGGGGAGCAAACAGGAUUAGAUACCCUGGUAGUCCACGCUGUAAACGAUGAGUGCUAAGUGUUAGGGGGUUUCCGCCCCUUAGUGCUGCAGCUAACGCAUUAAGCACUCCGCCUGGGGAGUACGGCCGCAAAGGCUG
rnacentral:rRNA from 1 species